GACGAACGCUGGCGGCGUGCUUAACACAUGCAAGUCGAACGGAAAGGCCCUGCUUGCUGGGUACUCGAGUGGCGAACGGGUGAGUAACACGUGGGUGAUCUGCCCUGCACUUCGGGAUAAGCCUGGGAAACUGGGUCUAAUACCGGAUAGGAGCCAUUUUUAGUGUGAUGGUUGGAAAGUUUUUUCGGUGUAGUAUGAGCUCGCGGCCUAUCAGCUUGUUGGUGGGGUAAUGGCCUACCAAGGCGGCGACGGGUAGCCGGCCUGAGAGGGUGGACGGCCACAGUGGGCUUGAGAUACGGCCCAGACUCCUACGGGAGGCAGCAGAGGGGAAUAUUGCACAAUGGGCGCACGCCUGAUGCAGCGACGCCGCGUGGGGGAUGACGGCCUUCGGGUUGUAAGCUCCUUUCGCUAGAGACGAAGCUUUUUGUGACGGUACCUAGAUAAGAAGCACCGGCUAACUACGUG
rnacentral:rRNA from 1 species